GCAGGGGUGGCAGAGUGGUUUAAUGCGCGAGCCUGCUAAGCUCGUGUCCUUCGGGGCGCGCGAGUUCGAAUCUCGUCCCCUGCG
rnacentral:tRNA from 1 species